rnacentral:rRNA from 1 species
UACGUAGGGUGCGAGCGUUAAUCGGAAUUACUGGGCGUAAAGCGUGCGCAGGCGGUUUUGUAAGCCAGAUGUGAAAGCCCCGGGCUCAACCUUUGAAUGUCAGCGGAUACUGCCGGGCUAGAGUCCGGAAGAGGCGAGUGGAAUUCCUGGUGUAGCGGUGGAAUGCGCAGAUAUCAGGAGGAACACCAACGGCGAAGGCAGCUCGCUGGGACGGUACUGACGCUGAGGCGCGAAAGCGUGGGGAGCGAACAGG